ACCUGGAUAGCUCAGGCGGUAAAGCAUGAGACUCAUAAUCUCAGGGUUGUGGGUUCAAACCCUACACUGGGUU